UACGUAGGGAGCAAGCGUUGUCCGGAAUCAUUGGGCGUAAAGCGCGCGUAGGCGGCCCGGUAAGUCCGCUGUGAAAGUCCAGGGCUCAACCCUGGGAUGCCGGUGGAUACUGUCGGGCUCGAGUCCGGAAGAGGCGAGUGGAAUUCCUGGUGUAGCGGUGAAAUGCGCAGAUAUCAGGAGGAACACCAAUGGCGAAGGCAGCUCGCUGGGACGUGACUGACGCUGAGACGCGAAAGCGUGGGGAGCAAACAGG
rnacentral:rRNA from 1 species